GAGUUUGAUCCUGGCUCAGAACGAACGCUGGCGGCGUGCUUAACACAUGCAAGUCGAACGUGAUUGAGAGCUUGCUCUCAUGAAAGUGGCGCACGGGUGAGUAACACGUGGAUAAUCUGCCUGGCGAUUCGGGAUAACACUUCGAAAGGGGUGCUAAUACCGGAUAAGCCCACAGUCUCCUCGGAGGGUGCGGGAAAAGGGGGCCUCUGUAUAUGCUCCUGUCGCUAGAUGAGUCCGCGGCCCAUUAGCUAGUUGGUAGGGUAAUGGCCUACCAAGGUGACGAUGGGUAGCUGGUCUGAGAGGAUGAUCAGCCACACUGGAACUGAGACACGGUCCAGACUCCUACGGGAGGCAGCAGUGGGGAAUUUUGCGCAAUGGGGGAAACCCUGACGCAGCAGCGCCGCGUGAGUGAUGAAGGCUUUCGGGUCGUAAAGCUCUGUCAGAGGGGAAAGAAGUGUAUUAGGGCUAAUAUCCCUGAUACUUGACGGUACCCCUAAAGGAAGCACCGGCUAACUCCGUGCCAGCAGCCGCGGUAAUAC
rnacentral:rRNA from 1 species